ensembl:lncRNA
GACGAAUGGAGGGAGGCAGCGAUGGGCAGACAAUAGGGGCAUGAUAACGGAGAGAGCAGCUCUACAUCCCUUAACCCCUGCUGGACCGAGAAGCUUCUGUAAAGCAGUUAGAGAUUGGUACAAAGAGGUUCUAGCUCUGUAAGAACAUCUCCUCCGUGCUCUUGAGUGGAGGUGAGGAUGAAAUGAGGACGUACGUGUUUACUAAAUGGACAAAUGAACAGUGAGUGGCCAGACCCUAUGGAAGAGAGCUGCGACCUCCGCUGACAGCCAUACGCCCAGAAGACCAAUCUCCGUGCUAGAGCAACUAGUCCAGGGGCCAUCCUGCUGUAGGCCUGUGUAGCUACGCUGGUAUCUCUGGUAAGAAUCCAAGAAGCUACACGAUAACUCCACUAACCAUGUAACCAGAACUUAAUCAGUAACUGAGAGCAUCCCUCAUUUACAUCCCUACUUCCAACUUUGGACCAACAGAGAGCCACAAAUGAAGCCCCUAACCAAUUACAUGGGAUGUUUUGCUUUGAGCCUACAGCUUCCCCAGACUGGAAAGGCCUCCAAUCAGAGAACCUGAACCUUUUUCUCUACUGUGAAGAUUUCCCAGCCCUCUGCCUUGCUUUGAAUCUCUACUAAAUGCAAGUGACCGUGGCUGACUCCCUGCCUAUAGCAAACCCUGCUUAAAGAGCCUUUGCUCAUUCUCAUUUGGAUGGUCUUGGACGUUUCUGCAGUGUAAACAGACCUAUCAUGGUGACUUAUAUGUUGCCAUCAACUAUGCCAUGAACAAUUUCCUAUGUCACCUUCUUCCACUGUGAUGUUUCUGCCUUGGAGUUAGCUAACCAAGGACUGAAUUACCUGAAACCAUGAGCCAAAUUAAUCUCCUCCCCCUUUAAGAGACACGGAGCAGUAAGAAUGAUAGAUGCAGGAGCCCGAGCAAAGGCGAGGUGUGCAGAGCUUCAAAAGGAGAUGGUCAGCCCUGUCCAGACCCCUGUAUGCUGUGUAUCUGGAGAACAGAGGAGAUGCUGGAGAAUUUGUGAAAAGCUGCAGGUGAUCUACAGAGAGGAACAGGUGGACAUGGGGGAGAUUCCUUGGGUUGAAUCACUCAGAAUUUAUACUAUGAAUCACAUUUGGAAAUUGGAUGCAAAUGAAAGCUAAUUACCAUAUUCAAAAAAUCAGAACCAUUUGAAAAAUUGGAUUCUGUUGUAGGCUUCCUAGGGGUUUGCUGUUGAUUUUAUUGUUUAAUUUUGCAUUUUCCCCUGCAGAGUCAUAACAUUUUACUUUCAGCUAGAGUUUAUUCCAGAGAUCUGUGUCUGGAUUCCAGCAGCAGCUAUUGUGUUCAUGGAGAGACUUUAAGAAGUCUGCUACCCACUGAUACUGUAUGUAAAAUAUAUAAUUUUGAGUCUAAAGCUUUCUUCAGAUUCUCAAAAAAGUCUGGAAUGUAGCACCUUUCUUCUACCUUCCCCAAGUACAGGUUGACUAGACUAUACUUCUUUUCUUUUUUUAAUUGAGUUCAUUGGUACAUUUUAGAUAUACAAUAUGAUGAGAUUUUUCAUUGGAAAUUUGUACCUUUACAUAAUAUAUCUUGGUUUUUAUUUUUUCCCUAUUCCCCUGCCCUCCCUUCAUAUACGUGCAAAGUGGGCUUUCUUUGGAGAAAACAGCUGUCCCAAGUUGACACUGCAGCUGGGAUAUGAAGUCAGCCUUCUAUCCUGGUUCUAAAAUUAUGAUUGUUUUAGUGAAGUGCAAGACUUCACUAAAGGUCAGAGAGCUGACGUCCUCUGUGAGUAGGGUGCUAUGUGAGCACAGACUCCUAAGGUGAUUAAGACUUUCUCCCGAGCCUCCAGGAAACCUAGAAGACCAUGGUUAUCCAGAAGCGCCUUUGGGGCUCCCUUUGCUACAAGUGUUUGGGGCUUCACUGCCUUCCAAAUAAGAAACCCCUAUUUGCACAAGGUGCUUGGGAAGCAAGCAUUCUACUUUCAAAGCCCUAAUAAUAAAAGCAGGGCAGGGAAAACUAGAAAAUAAUUACUAUGACAACUGGGUUGCACUACACUAGCUGAAAGAGGGGUGCCUCCCUCCUUGACCAUCACAAUUUUGAUACUUUUAGGAGACACAAACAUAAGCACAUUUCUGCCCCAAAGAGCAACUUCCUGUCUUUUUCACCAGGUACAAGAUUGCUAGGUCUCUAUCUAAACUGCACUUAGUUGACCAGUUUCUACUUUGUUUCUUGGUAAAGGCAUGAUAUGGGUCUGAAAAUAGGGAUGGUAUCCCUGUGAGGCGAAUCCUGAGGUGUGAGUCUUCUCUCGAAUAUUAACUGCCAGUGGAGGCCAGAAUCAGGAACAGAGUUUAUGUUCUCCUUCAUAUUGUCAGCAUAACUCCACAGUUAGAAAAACCUAGAGAUUAUUUGAGUUUCAUUUACCUACAUGCUUUGAAAAAUGGUGUACUGUCUUGAGUUGUUCUUAAGAUUUUAUUUGCAUUUCUGUUUCUCAGCCAAUGAAUAGGGCAAAUGAAGAGGGAUUUAAGACUGGCUCAGUUCUUUGCAUAUCUUGCUUUGGACGCAGUUAAGAACCUGAAAUCUCCUGUGUUUAGCUAAGGGCACUUAGGAACCAUGCCCUCAGCUCAUCACUGACUGAGGGUCUACUUUAAGGACUCUGAUAAAAACUACACUUGAAUAAUGACCAUCCAGCUGCUGUUCUGCAAAAGCUCAUGGUCUUGUUGGAAAGAUGGACACACCCAGCAUGGAAACAGCGCAGUGAGUAACUGCAAUGAUAGAGAUUAGAAUAGGAAGUUAUGGUCCAGUAAGUAGUGGUGGGGAAUAGCUGUCCAGAAAAGAGACUUAAAUCACUAUGGGAGAAGAUUUUCUUGCAAAUUGAUGUCACAUCGACUCUAAAGGGUGACAGGAAGAUAGGUGGAAGCAUUCACAAGCAGAGAGGAGGUGAAAACCAGAGAGUGGGGACUGUGAUUGCGAGGCGUUCCACUCUGUGAGGGGUGUAAAAGGAAAGUGGUAGGAAGACUUGAGACCGGGGUGAGGGAAUAACACGCCUCAUCUCCUCCCUGCUGAUGUGAGUACUGUUAAGUUUAUGGGUGACACAGAGAAAUUCAGGUUUUUAUUAGACCCAUGACCUGGAGAGACUAAAUGUAGGGGGUCUAAUUAGGAAGCCCUGGGAUCCACAGUUUUUAAUGCAGCCACAGGUCAUGGUGAGCAAGAAGAAAGGGCCAAUUGACAUUAUCAUUGUAGAAAGGGACAACUGACAUUAGCAUGGUAGUAGUACCAUCUAGUCUGGAGAUGAGGGAUAAGAAAAACCUAGAAGGCCUCUCCUGAUCCGAGACAGAGGAAGAAGAAACAGAGAAGGGCAGCUUACACAUGAUUUCAAAGUGAUUGAGAAAAGAAAAAUACAGCCCUGCGACCUUUCAUGUAUGUUACUUAAAAGGCCCAAAGGGCUGUUCUGCAGGGGUGAUGUUUCUGAUUUGAACUGGCUGAUCUCUGGAGGUCCUGAAUACAUUUCCAGAAGGAAAGUAUGACCAUCAAAGGCACACUCCAAAAUGUCUCUCAACUACCUGCAGAACACCUGGAGAUUAGGCCAGUGGACUCAUAGACAGCAGGAAUGAGGAAACACCCGGAAAUGUUAACUGCAAUGCAGAGCAUCAAAAAUGAACGCUCAGAAUCCACCCCUGGGAACAUCCGGUGGUGGAGCAAAUACGCUGUCAUGUUAAAGAACAGGGGUUUUUUAUUCAAGAUCCUGGGCUCAAAGCUAGGCUGUAAUGCACACUUUAAUUCUAACCUCUCUUUCUUUCUUUGUUGGAUGCAGGUCUCAUAUGGGCUGAAUUGUAUACUCUUAAAAUUUAUAUGCAUAAUUCUUAAUUCCCAGUACCUCAGAAUGUGACUGUAUUUGGAGUACUGCUGAACCAAGGUGAUGGAAGUGGACAUCUUUAUCUUGGGCAUAAUCUUAGAGGAAAAUCUUUCAAAUUUUCAGCAUUGUGUACAUUAGCUGCAUGUUUUCACAUAUGAUUUUAUCAAUUUUACCUCCAUAAAGCUAUCAGAAAAAGGACUGUGAUAGGAAGAUGUUUGAAAAAUUUUAGCCAGAAUUGCAAGCACAGGAGCCUGAGCCCCUUCAAGACAAGAGCUCUACCUUUUGUGUCUGUUUGCAGCUUGUGGUGUGUCUGAACUGCCUACAGCACUUACUUUGCACACAGGGGCACUCUUGAGAGUCCGGUGGAUAACUGCCUCUGUACAGUAGGCUCAACCCGGGCCAUCCUAGGCAAACAGAAGAACUUUGCUCCAGACAUAUAUUUUCCAAGAUUAUAUCACUUUGAGCCAACUCUUUGAACUCCAGACAGAACUUGAAACAGUUGCUGAGCUAGCCAGCAGUUGACAGCUGGGGACGUUUGAGCUUUUUCAUGCAGUGGCAAUUGGGAGACCUUAUCAUUGUGCAUUAUUGGAUUGUGGCUGUGCAAAAAACCAGGCAUGUGUGAGAUGAGAUAUUCCCUCUCCAUCCAGGGAAUGACAAAACCAUCUCAGGAGGAGGUUGAUAUGCGCGUCUGUUGGCAGAGAUCUUUCCUGGCAUUCUGGAGAUUUCUGGGGUGUACAUACUGAGGUCACAUCAGAAUAUCUGCAGAAAUAAAAGCAAAAAGCAGCCAGACAAGAAAAGUGAGAAGAAGUGGAUGUCCCUGCUGGAGACAAUGACUAAUUUAAGCAAGGUGGCACUCUCAUAGCCCAAAUGGACCAAGACACCUGCUGUUCCUUACUUGUUUGUCUGCUGCUCUGAAAGGACAAUCAAUGCGAAGACAAAUGUGUUUACCUUGAGGAGGCUAGAAACAUACAAAAUGCCUGCUGAGCUCAAAUGUGUGGACUUGCUUCCUCCCCAUAAGGAAGCAGGACCCUCUGGUCUGAACUAUAAACUGAGCUCAAUUGUUGCAGGGGAAACUGCAGUGAAGGCGAAACACAUGUCUGAGUCACAGAAGCACACAGAUUAAGAAGUUUGAUAAAUCAGGUGACUGUGAACAACACAGACUUUAAGCCCUCAAUUCCACUUUUAGACUGUGACGGCGGAGGUAUGGACUCACCCAACCUGACGUUGUAAGAGAAGGGAGACAGAGCAAGAGACAUGGAGAAGAAUUUCCCUGGGCCUUGAACAUGCACAGGAGCAGAAGUUCAGGAUCAGUGAUGCCAGGUCGGAGAUAAGAAGUAGAUGCCAAGAAAUAGAGCUGAAGAAACCAAGGCAUAGAAAGUUUGAAUCUUGGACCCACGAUCACAUAGGAAAUCAGAGGAAACAACAGAAAGCUUGGACGUGCUCUGCCUCUAUCCCUCUCUGUCAGCAGCUCUUGCCAGAGCCCAGUGAUGCUGGUAUGCUAAUCCCAGACUCCACAACUAAACCCAUCAGAUUCAAGUUCUCUGGAUGGUGCUCGCCCAACACCUAUGGACAGGCACAAUAUUUCAAUGGUUUCAAGAAGGUAUCCUGGGAGAAGUGAACUGAAAUAUGGAGGAUGCCUUGGAAGAGGAAGGAGCUAGAAGAGAGCAUGGUGAAGUCUGUGGCCAGAGUGCUGUGGAUGGAGAAGGGAUGGAAGGAGGGAAUUCAGAAUUUCAGCGUCCCAGGAAAGCUUCGGUGUGCUAAAAGAGAAUGGAAGCAUUGAGAGCGUUUCACACGGCUCAGGAACCCUCCAAGAGGCGACGCCAGUUCUCCACGACAGUUACCUGUUCAACGGAACUUAACUAACACACCUGUGUAUCAUCCCUGCAACAUACACGUUCCGAGGAGGUGAUGAGAAAUGACCAGGAAGACACUUCACACUCAGUAGGCUAAGGUAGCCCAAGAUUAGGAAACCUCUAUCUUUCAAGGAAGACUGCUGGGAAACAUCCCAACAUUUACUCCAAAGGGAGGCAUUGCAUCUGUCCUGGUCCUGACCAACAAAUCUUUCCUCUCGUCUGGAGGAAGACACUAGCUCUGUGUUCUAAGGCUGUUUGCAAUACAAAUAUCCUUCAAAGGCUAGAGCAAUACUUGGUACAAGACAGGCAGAAAUGAGAGAGAUGUGUCUUGCUGCAAGGGAGAUGGCAGCAGCAAUGCUGCCGGUGGUGGUAUCUGGUACCCUGUGUCCCAGUGACUGCUCUGAAAUUAGAGCAAGGUGCUGCAGCCAAAACUUCAGCGGAUCUGUCCAGGCCUUCCCAAUUCCCUUUGCGGAGCAGAACUAGCAGCCCAGGAUUCAGCUGUAUUUUCUGAGCCAGCAGAUGAUGUUGGUGGAAGUAAGGAGAAUUCCUCCCUUUUGGAUGGCAGCUCCCCUAAAGAGAUAUGUUAUUGAAGUUAACCUGCAUAGGAAAAGAAACCCUCAGAAGCUUAUUAAAGUGAAGAACAAAAUUGAUGUUUGUCCCGAAUGUAGCCUGAAAGGGAAACAUACCCUUUCAGGUAUGCUAUGAGAAAGUGUGCAAGGAGACUGCAGAAAUCAGAGGACAGAUGGGGAAACCCAGGGGACUGUGGUCCCCCACAGCAGAGACGAUGGCCCUGCAGACGGGAGAGACCCAGUCUGAACACCACUCAGACAAGAGCAAUGUCGACAGAGACAGGAAUAGGCUGUUCUGGUUCACCCAGGACUGACACCAAAGAUGCUGAAAGGAUAACUCCGCAGGAAAAUAUUUCUUGUGAAACAGAGAAGGAAUCUUUGUUUUUAUGUUGUUGUGCUUGUUUUUAAACUAUCAAUCUGGUUUAAAUUGUAACUUGUAAGCAGUUAAUUUUGUGUGGGAUAAUUUGAAGCAUAUAUCAUGGGGGAACCUUGAAAAUGUCUAUGCAAAAGUUCAAUGGAUUAAUGUCUGUUUAUACCACACUGUCCAGUUUCAAAUAAACGUAACAUUUUUCAGAACAACAUUUUUUUAAAAAAACUCACCGUAAGAAAAAGAAAGAAACAUGAGAGUUGCAUGGAAGAUUAGCCCCCAAAACUAUUAAUGAAUUGUUAAAAUUGUAUGAGAAAAUUUCCUGUGCAGUAUCUACUAUAGAGAAGAAAAUGAAUACAUUUUUCAUGAGUAAAUGGAUAAAUAAAAGAAUGAAUGAACAUAUGAUAGAUACUGGGAUGCAAAUGACUAGAAAUGUGUAACAUAGAAAAAUGGGAAAAUAGUUAUUACCUUUGGC